GACGAACGCUGGCGGCGUGCUUAACACAUGCAAGUCGAACGGGCCUUGUCCCCUUUUUUUUUGGGGGUGGGGUUAGUGGCGAACGGGUGAGUAACACGUGAGUAACCUGCCCCUCACUUCUGGAUAACCGCUUGAAAGGGUGGCUAAUACGGGGUGUUCUGGCCUGCUCGCAUGGGUGGGUUUGGAAAGAUUCGACCGGUUUUGGUGGUUUUGGUGGGGGAUGGGCUCGCGGCCUCUCAGCUUGUUGGUGGGGUGAUGGCCUGCCAAGGCUUUGACGGGUAGCCGGGCUGAGAGGGUGGGCGGUCACACUGGGACGGAGACACGGCCCAGACUCCUACGGGAGGCAGCAGUGGGGAAUAUUGCACAAGGGGCGCAAGCCUGAUGCAGCGACGCCGCGUGAGGGAUGGAGGCCUUCGGGUUGUGAACCUCUUUCGCCAGUGAAGAAGGUCCUGCUCUUUGUGGCGGGGUUGACGGUAGCUGGGUUAAUGAAGCGCCGGCUAACUACGUG
rnacentral:rRNA from 1 species